GAUAACCAUAUGUCUCUUUGUAUAUCUUCUCCAAAUACUAAAUCAGAAGAUAAUGCUUGUACUUCUUUACCAAUGGUGUGCGAGUUUGGCUCUUCUGUUACAUGU